rfam:Morus notabilis contig25788, whole genome shotgun sequence.
AGCCGUGCGGUGCGUACAGAGCGAACUAUUCUUUCGCCUUUUACUAAAGAAUACCGUGUACGCGCCGCUUUUUGCGGCAUACGCCUAUUUUUGGAGAGGCUCUCUUAUAUGAGGGUG